rnacentral:rRNA from 1 species
AGAGUUUGAUCCUGGCUCAGGAUGAACGCUAGCGGCAGGCUUAACACAUGCAAGUCGAGGGGCAUCGGGAGGGAAGCUUGCUUUCCUUGCCGGCGACCGGCGCACGGGUGAGUAACACGUAUGCAACCUGCCCUCUUCAGGGGGACAACCUUCCGAAAGGGAGGCUAAUCCCGCGUAUAUCGGUUUCGGGCAUCCGAGAUCGAGGAAAGAUUCAUCGGAAGAGGAUGGGCAUGCGGCGCAUUAGCUAGACGGCGGGGUAACGGCCCACCGUGGCGACGAUGCGUAGGGGUUCUGAGAGGAAGGUCCCCCACACUGGUACUGAGACACGGACCAGACUCCUACGGGAGGCAGCAGUGAGGAAUAUUGGUCAAUGGGAGAGAUCCUGAACCAGCCAAGCCGCGUGAGGGAAGACGGCCCUAUGGGUUGUAAACCUCUUUUGUCGGAGAACAAAACCCGGGACGAGUCCCGGACUGCGUGUAUCCGAAGAAAAAGCAUCGGCUAACUCCGUGCCAGCAGCCGCGGUAAUACGGAGGAUGCGAGCGUUAUCCGGAUUUAUUGGGUUUAAAGGGUGCGUAGGCGGUCCGUUAAGUCAGCGGUAAAAUUGCGGGGCUCAACCCCGUCGAGCCGUUGAAACUGGCAGACUUGAGUUGGCGAGAAGUACGCGGAAUGCGCGGUGUAGCGGUGAAAUGCAUAGAUAUCGCGCAGAACUCCGAUUGCGAAGGCAGCGUACCGGCGCCAGACUGACGCUGAGGCACGAAAGCGUGGGGAUCGAACAGGAUUAGAUACCCUGGUAGUCCACGCAGUAAACGAUGAAUGCUGGUUGUCCGGGUCGAAUGAGAUCUGGGCGGCGAAGCGAAAGCGAUAAGCAUUCCACCUGGGGAGUACGCCGGCAACGGUGAAACUCAAAGGAAUUGACGGGGGCCCGCACAAGCGGAGGAACAUGUGGUUUAAUUCGAUGAUACGCGAGGAACCUUACCCGGGCUCAAACGGGAGUGGAAUGGACCAGAGACGGUUCAGCCUACGGGCCGCUUCCGAGGUGCUGCAUGGUUGUCGUCAGCUCGUGCCGUGAGGUGUCGGCUUAAGUGCCAUAACGAGCGCAACCCCCGCCGGCAGUUGCUAACGGGCAAUGCCGAGGACUCUGCCGGGACUGCCGCCGCAAGGCGAGAGGAAGGCGGGGAUGACGUCAAAUCAGCACGGCCCUUACGUCCGGGGCGACACACGUGUUACAAUGGCAGGUACAGAGAGAAGCGAUGCGGCGACGCAGAGCGGAACUUCAAAGCCUGUCUCAGUUCGGAUUGGAGUCUGCAACCCGACUCCAUGAAGCUGGAUUCGCUAGUAAUCGCGCAUCAGCCACGGCGCGGUGAAUACGUUCCCGGGCCUUGUACACACCGCCCGUCAAG